rnacentral:misc_RNA from 1 species
GCAAUGGAAGUUACCCAGGUGCUUUUGAAUGCACAAUCAAUAGAUGGAAAUGUGCGUAAACAUGCAGAAGAAAGCUUAAAACAGUUCCAGGAGCAAAACCUCUCCAGUUUUUUGCUAUCACUCUCUAGUGAGCUAGCAAAUGAUGAGAAACCUGUAGAUAGCCGCAAAUUAGCUGGUUUAAUACUUAAAAAUGCAUUGGAUGCCAAGGAACAACAUAGAAAACUUGAGCUUGUUCAAAGAUGGUUGUCACUGGACAACAAUGUGAAAAGCCAAAUCAAGGCAUGUUUGUUAAAGACUCUUUC